AGAUGUUUUGGGACUACAACUCCCAUCAUCCCUAGCUAACAGGACCAGUGGUCAGGGAUGCUGGGAAUUGUAUUCCCAAAACAUCU